rnacentral:misc_RNA from 1 species
UUAAACCAUGGAGAAAACAUGAGAUCGUAAAAGAGAGUAGUGCUUCUCUGAAAUUAUAUAAAUAAUGGAACACUUUUACAUGAAAAUGAUGAACAUUUUGGACAACAUAUACUAGGGAUAGGUUCACCAGAAAUAUGGAAAGGCAAAUCAUUCUUAAAAUAGCUGUUGGUUUAGUGCUAUUUCUCAUUGCACUGCUCAGCAAAUCAGUUGAAGGCAUAGGCUGCUUUGUAUGCACCUCAAUCAAUGGCAGUAACCCUGCAUGUGAGGACACAUUCAAUAAUUCAAUGACCUUAGAUGUCUACAAGCCAAACUGCAAAGCAGGAAGAAAAGCCAGAACUGGGCUCUUCCCAGCAACAGACUGUAUAAAGCUUAAAGCUGUAAUCGAUGACUCCAAAGUUGAGCAUUUAAUCCGAGCUUGUGUCACUGACGAUGGCGGUAUUAACUCUGAGACUGAAAUUGGGAGAAUUUCUCAUUGUGGAUUUAUACGUCAAAUAAAACUAGAUGGCAAGGAAGCAACAGGGUGUAUUCUAACGUGUAACACAGAUGGAUGUAACGGUGCAGUGCACUUAUCAUUACCCACAUUUGGACUACUACUAACCAUGUUUGUACUGCUAAGACAGUUAAAGAUAAUACAUUUGUAGCCCAUAAUUAGAGCUAAUUGGACAUCUUGCGUCUUAUCUAGGUGUAUAGAACAGAACUGAAACAGUAUACAGGAAAAAUCAGGCUUUUCCCCAGAAAGCUACUACAUCCCUGACCCUUUAACAUAUUUUUGAUAUUUACAAAUGCUUUCAAAUGACACACACACAGGUUGAUCAUACAGAUGUUCAUGUUCAGAAAUGGGCAGAAUAUCUCACUGUGGAUUUAUUUGCCAAUUACAACUGGAUGAUGUCAAAACGAAAAAAGGAUGCAUUGUCACAGGUGACACAAAUGGAAGUAAUGGAUCAAUUCAGACAAAAAAAUCAUUAUUUGGAAUAUUGUUAACGUGGUAAUUGGCUCUAAGAGGUUCACUGCAAUGUCCAGAAGAAGCUCCAAUAUAUAAAUCACUUAAAAAACUUAGAAAAGUGUGUUCCACUAAAAGAGGAGUUUCACUUGCAGAGGUUUUCCAAUUUACAAAUUUAAAUGUAUUCAUUGAAACAGCUCUCUAAAAUGAAACAUUGACAACAAAUGAAUUCCUCAAAUAAAUUUGUUGUUACCAACAAUUUUAAAUGAUGAGAUCUCACUCCCAUCCCAAAUUAAACAAUAGCCCCUUGUAAUGAUGUAGCCUAUUUGUUCCCUUUUAUGUACAUGUGAUAAUGAGAUAGUGUAAACCAAACAUGUACAAUGUACAUUAUACAGUGUA